GACUAAACAAAAACCAUCACGUCACAUGAAAGUUCCAUUUUGUUCCAACUUGAAUUAAGCUUCUUCCAACUUUACAGUUGGAGAUGUUCUACAUGGACGUCAACACCACCAUUGGAUACGUCCUUAGAAGCUACUAGUCAUCCACAAACCUGCACAUGCAAACAUAUUACAAGCAUGCAAAAACCAAUAGCAUGCUUCUGUAAUACCACAUAAUAGAAAGAAGAUAGCAGGGGCAAACAAAGUAUACUGGAAUAUCUAAAAGAACUUAUAUUUAGGAACAUAGGGAGUACAAGCAUAUGAUUGAAUGUAUAAGUGGAAGAGAAUAUAUUUACAUAUGAUAAAAUACAACAAUAAAAUAACGUUGUGAAUGAACAGGUUAUCACAAGCUUCUUGUUCGAGACUAAAUACCAACAGACCCUUCCAGAAUUAUGAAUAUGGUGACUAAAAAAAUUGUGGUAAUACAGUACCUUCAGGCUAUCUUCCAAUAAACUUGAUACAGAUCGAGAAGUCUUGAUCAAACAAAGCAUACCUCUGCAAUUCGAAUGUAUUUGGCCCAUAGCGAUGGGUGGCAAGCUUGGCUGCUUCAAAUCUUGUAUCUUGUUCUUCAAAGUUAGUACUCUAUGUACCUACAUCAAUGCUCCAUCAAUGUUUAUUUCCAAACAACAACAACAAAAUAAAUGUGAGCACCUGGUGCAGUAGUUCUACUAAAUGACCCAAAACAGAUCAUAAUAUUACUUUAGCUUAUGUAGAGAUAACAAACUGCGGCAUCGAGAAACAAAUCAGAAUUAUUGUGCCAUUAAACUCUUAUCUCACUAUUAAAUGAAUGUAUAUUUAUUUAUUGGAUAUAAAUUAAACUUGUACUAAAGCCUCUGUGUUAAUCCACAUCAUUAGAAUUAAUUAAACUGUUAGAUCUUAGAUUUAUGGCUAAGAUUAACUGAGCGAUAGACUGUAUCAGGACGUGACAUACGUCGGAAAAAAACAUACGUGCAGAGGCAAAUAAAUUGCACGUGCGAUGGCAAAAGGAGAUGGUGGCGACCUGGAAUCUUGAGUCCUAAUCAAAGACUAAUCUAAAAGGACUAUCGCAGAUCGUGAUCCACGUGAGACUAAAAUCCAUCAUGCGAAGGCAAAGGAGGCAAAAGGCGACAUGUUUGCAACCUAGACUCUCGAGUCCUGAUGAUAUAGUACUUUUGGCGUGGAUAGAGUCAUGCUUAUAUAAUACUAUGUGGUUGGCUGAAUCAUGCAAACCAAAUGGAAUUUCAUGUAGCCUCCUAGCUGGGUAUCUGCAUAUGCACAUGUACAGUCUUGUAAGUGAGAUAUAUUGCUAAGACCCAAAUUGAAUAUUUGAUUCUUCUCUGCAUACACAGUAUACAUGGGUGUUCUGUGCAUACAGAGUAUACAUGUACAGUAUCAUGUGUUCCCGAAUUCAAUUAUUUUAAAAUGAUAGUUAAUAUAGAAGGUCGAAUGUUCAAUGUGAUACACUCAGCAAGACAAAAAUAUAUAGACAUAUGUGAUACAUGUCUAGUGUCUGCAACAACUAUAUUUGCUACAGUAAACUAACGAAUUUACAGAUAGAUGAGGACCAUCAAAUGCUUCAAAAGUACCUGUGCCAAAGUAGGCCUACGCGACGGCUAAUGAUCUUCUGGCAUAAUCGACGGAGGCGAUGGCACAUUGUCUUGCGGCCAAAG
rnacentral:lncRNA from 1 species